CUAUGUUGGCAAGCUGUGUCCUCGGCUCAGGGACAGGUCUGAGUCAUGGAGGCCCUGCUACUUCCUGGUCCUGUUCCUGGGCUCAUCUUCACGGGCCCACAGUUCCAGCCCCACUACCAUCACCAAAGUCCAGAUCAUGUUGGGCAUCUCUUGGACUCAAUCCCCAGUAAGAAGCAGCAUCUCCACUGCCUGGACUGAGGUCUUCAGUGGCUACACCUUUACCACCACACUUCCUGAACUGAGCCACUGUGUUGGUUGGUCUCAAGGAGGGACCUUUUCCUGAGCUGCGCCUCUGUCCCAACUACACCUACCAGUGACUUGUGGUGAUCUUCUCCCCAGGUUCUGAUGCCAGACCCCGAAACACACGAUGGAUGAUGAUAUAAGAACUGCUUGCUGGGAAGGGGAACACCAAAAGGUUUAGUGAAUCAUAGUGAGAAGGGGUAGGGUAGGGUCUGGGUUCCUUACAGUUACUGUCCUCUCACUUGGGCCUCAAACCACGCACAAAGUAGACCGUUGUAAACCCAUUCUACAGAUGUGGGCUUAGAAGCCCAUAGGGGAAGAGAUUAGCCUAGGGUCACCCAGAAGCAAAAUAACAGCACGGGGGUUCAAACUAUGCUCUUUCCAGAAAAAGAUAAAGAGGAAAACCCACAGAGCUCAGCAGACACCUGACUCCGGGGCCAGACUGUGCCACCAGCACUAUAAUAGCUGUAUAAAAAAAAAGUUUUCUUUUCUUUUUUUUAAAUGUGGGUAGAGGAAUAUAUAAUGAAUGCUGUUGGUUAAAAAAAAAAGGGGCAGAUAAAGCUGGUAUGCUGUGAAAAGUCAGCAGCUGUAAUAUUUUAUGAUUCAAUGCAAAAAAUAUGUUGAGUUCCUCAGCUGCAUAAGUGGUAUAAACAAAUAAUUUUUUCUUUCUUUCCUUUUUUUUUUUUAAAGAUACAAGGAGGGUAUUGCCAUUAUCUGAGGACCUCUUUGCUGUCCUCAGACAAUGUUCAUCUGAAGGUAGAAAAUGCCCUGAACAGCACUCAACCCUGAACUUUUCUAGAACGUAGGCAGAAAGUUUGAGCAUGUGUAGACACGGAAGCUAAACAAGGCAAAUGCAGAAGUUGCCUCUGGUGAUAGUCCACAGAUCAACGAUACACGGUACAUGAAAUCCCCAUCCCAUCCCCCCUCUCU
rnacentral:lncRNA from 1 species